GGCAGGGCCAAAGUCCUUGGGGAAGUGAGCAGCCAGGACGAUGAUGAGGAUAUCUCCCAGGAUCUGGAGGGGGGAAGGAACCAGCCUGCAGGAACCUCCAGGAUCUCAGAAGCCUCUCCCUAGACGUUGGCCCUGACCCCUUCAGAACCUGAAGCUUGGCAUCCCCUUGGUGCCACCAGAGGACCAAACCUCCUCCUCCUCUGCCCUAGCUUCCACCCAAGCCACCUCCUCUCUUGUCUGCUGCAUUGAUGCUGCUCAUCUGGAACCCUCCAGGCACCAAGAUGCACCUCAGGAUGCAGGAGGAAGAGGAAGGAUGAGAGAGGCCACAGAGCAUGGAGGAGCUGCAGAGCAGAGCUGGAUGCUCCCAGCAGCAGCAGGAGGAGGA